GCAGUCAUGGCCGAGUGGUCAAGGCGAUGGACUAGAAAUCCAUUGGGGUCUCCCCGCACAGGUUCGAAUCCUGUCGACUGCG
rnacentral:tRNA from 1 species